CAACAGCUCAAAUUUGAAAUCUGGCCCCCUCGGGGUCCGAGUUGUAAUUUGUAGAGGGUGCUUCGGGCGCGAUGCCGGUCUAAGUUCCUUGGAACAGGACGUCGUAGAGGGUGAGAAUCCCGUAUGCGACCGGCAGUCAAGCCCGUGCGAAGCCCCUUCGACGAGUCGAGUUGUUUGGGAAUGCAGCUCAAAAUGGGUGGUAAAUUUCAUCUAAAGCUAAAUACCGGCCAGAGACCGAUAGCGGACAAGUAGAGUGAUCGAAAGAUGAAAAGCACUUUGGAAAGAGAGUCAAACAGUACGUGAAAUUGUUGAAAGGGAAGCGCUUGCAAUCAGACCGGUCCGGAGGUGAUCAGCCGCUGCUCGUCAGCGGUGCACUCGCCUGCGAUCCGGCCAGCAUCGGUUUGGGCGGCGGGAUAAAAGUCCCGGGAAUGUAGCUUCUUCCGGGGAGUCUUAUAGCCCGGGUCGCAAUGCCGCCCGCCCGGACCGAGGACCGCGCUUCGGCUAGGAUGCUGGCGUAAUGGUUGCAAGCG
rnacentral:rRNA from 1 species